GAUGAACGCUGGCGGCGUGCCUAAUACAUGCAAGUCGAGCGAACAGACGGGGAGCUUGCUCCUUCGACGUUAGCGGCGGACGGGUGAGUAACACGUAGGUAACCUACCUAUAAGACUGGGAUAACUUCGGGAAACCGGAGCUAAUACCGGAUAAUAUUUCGAACCGCAUGGUUCGAUAGUGAAAGAUGGCUUUGCUAUCACUUAUAGAUGGACCUGCGCCGUAUUAGCUAGUUGGUAAGGUAACGGCUUACCAAGGCAACGAUACGUAGCCGACCUGAGAGGGUGAUCAGCCACACUGGAACUGAGACACGGUCCAGACUCCUACGGGAGGCAGCAGUAGGGAAUCUUCCGCAAUGGGCGAAAGCCUGACGGAGCAACGCCGCGUGAGUGAUGAAGGUCUUCGGAUCGUAAAACUCUGUUAUUAGGGAAGAACAAACGUGUAAGUAACUGUGCACGUCUUGACGGUACCUAAUCAGAAAGCCACGGCUAACUACGUG
rnacentral:rRNA from 1 species